CCUACGGGAGGCAGCAGUGGGGAAUAUUGCACAAUGGGCGAAAGCCUGAUGCAGCAACGCAGCGUGAGCGAUGAAGGCCCUCGGGUCGUAAAGCUCUUUCCUCAAGGAAGAUAAUGACGGUACUUGAGGCGGAAGCCCCGGCUAACUACGUGCCAGCAGCCGCGGUAAUACGUAGGGGGCUAGCGUUAUCCGGAGUUACUGGGCGUAAAGGGUGCGUUGGUGGUUUCUAAAGUGUGUGGUGAAAGGCUACGGCUCAACCGUAGUAAGCCGUUGAAACUGGGGAACUUGAGUGCAGGAGAGGAGAGUGGAAUUCCUGGUGUAGCGGUGAAAUGCGUAGAUAUUAGGAGGAACGCCGGUUGCGAAGGCGGCUCUCUGGACUGUAACUGACACUGAGGCACGAAAGCGUGGGGAGCAAACAGGAUUAGAUACCCCAGUAGUC
rnacentral:rRNA from 1 species